rnacentral:rRNA from 1 species
AUUGAACGCUGGCGGCAGGCCUAACACAUGCAAGUCGAGCGGAUGAAGGGAGCUUGCUCCUGGAUUCAGCGGCGGACGGGUGAGUAAUGCCUAGGAAUCUUCCUGGUAGUGGGGGAUAACGUCCGGAAACGGGCGCUAAUACCGCAUACGUCCUGAGGGAGAAAGUGGGGGAUCUUCGGACCUCACGCUAUCAGAUGAGCCUAGGUCGGAUUAGCUAGUUGGUGGGGUAAAGGCCUACCAAGGCGACGAUCCGUAACUGGUCUGAGAGGAUGAUCAGUCACACUGUAACUGAGACACGGUCCAGACUUCUACGGGAGGCAGCAUUGGGGAAUUUUGGACUAUGCCCGAAAUCCUGAUCCAGCCCUGCCGCGUGUGUGAAGAAGGUUUUCGGAUGGUAAAGCACGUUAAGUUGGGAGGAAGGGCAGUAAGUUAAUACCUUGCUGUUUUGACGUUACCAACAGAAUAAGCACCGGCUAACUUCGUG